UGGAAAUUCCGGGAAAAGGGAUAAAAUAAUGAUCCCGGAACUGGAAAUUCCAGGGGAGAUCAACUUAUUGACAGUGGAAUUCCGGAGUCAUGCGGAAAAAAAAUGAAUUUCCAAGGGUCAUUGAUUAAACACAAUUGGAAUUCCAGGCACCCCCUUCUACAAACCACAUUUUUCGAGGGCUUCUGACAAAAAAUUACUUGGAAAUCCGGGGGGUAGGAGAAUUUAUGCCGUGUGUCCUCAACAGGGGGUGUACGGA